rnacentral:rRNA from 1 species
CCAGACUCCUACGGGAGGCAGCAGUGGGGAAUAUUGGGCAAUGGGCGCAAGCCUGACCCAGCAACGCCGCGUGAAGGAAGAAGGCUUUCGGGUUGUAAACUUCUUUUAUUCGGGACGAAGAAAGUGACGGUACCGAAUGAAUAAGCCACGGCUAACUACGUGCCAGCAGCCGCGGUAAUACGUAGGUGGCAAGCGUUAUCCGGAUUUAUUGGGUGUAAAGGGCGUGUAGGCGGGAAUGCAAGUCAGAUGUGAAAACUCAGGGCUCAACCCUGAGCCUGCAUUUGAAACUGUAUUUCUUGAGUGCUGGAGAGGCAAUCGGAAUUCCGUGUGUAGCGGGGAAAUGCGUAGAUAUACGGAGGAACACCGGUGGCGAAGGCGGCCUGCUGGACUGCAACUGACGUUGAGGCCCGAAAGCGUGGGGAGCAAACAGGAUUAGAUACCCUUGUAC